GCCUCGCUAGCUCAGUGGUCAGAGCCACCGCCUCUUAAGCGGAGGGCCCCUGGUUCGAAUCCAGGGCGAGGUA
rnacentral:tRNA from 1 species